UACAGAGGUUUCAAGCGUUGUUCGGAUUCAUUGGGCGUAAAGGGUGCGUAGGCGGCGCGGUAAGUCGGGUGUGAAAUCUUGGAGCUUAACUCCGAAACUGCAUUCGAUACUGCCGUGCUUGAGGACUGGAGAGGAGACUGGAAUUUACGGUGUAGCGGUGAAAUGCGUAGAUAUCGUAAGGAAGACCAGUGGCGAAGGCGGGUCUCUGGACAGUUCCUGACGCUGAGGCACGAAGGCCAGGGGAGCAAACGGG
rnacentral:rRNA from 1 species